rnacentral:rRNA from 1 species
CCUACGGGAGGCAGCAGUGGGGGAUAUUGCACAAUGGGGGGAACCCUGAUGCAGCGACGCCGCGUGGGUGACGGAGUUCUUGGGCAUGUAAAGCCCUAUCGGCAGGGAAGAAGCAAGACGGUACCUGCCUAAGAAGCCCCGGCUAAGUACGUGCCAGCAGCCGCGGUAAUACGUAGGUGACUAGCGUUAUCCGGAUGCACUGGGUGGAAAGUGAGCGUAGACGGCCAUUCAAGCCAGGGGUGAAAGCCCGGGGCCAAACCCCGGGACUGCCCUUGGAACUGCAUGGCUGGAGUGCGGGAGGGGAAGGCGGAAUUCCUGGUGGAGCGGGGAAAUCCGGAGAUAUCAGGAGGAACAACGGCGGCGAAGGCGGCCUGCUGGACCGCGACUGACGUUGAGGCUCGAAAGCGUGGGGAGCGAACAGGAUUAGAUACCCUGGUAGUC